CCUACGGGUGGCAGCAGUGGGGAAUAUUGGACAAUGGGCGAAAGCCUGAUCCAGCCAUACCGCGUGUGUGAAGAAGGCCUUCGGGUUGUAAAGCACUUUCAGUGGGGAAGAAAGCCUUGGGGCUAAUACCCUCGAGGAAGGACAUCACCCACAGAAGAAGCACCGGCUAACUCCGUGCCAGCAGCCGCGGUAAUACGGAGGGUGCGAGCGUUAAUCGGAAUUACUGGGCGUAAAGCGCGCGUAGGCGGUCUGAUAAGCCGGUUGUGAAAGCCCCGGGCUCAACCUGGGAACGGCAUCCGGAACUGUCAGGCUAGAGUGCAGGAGAGGAAGGUAGAAUUCCCGGUGUAGCGGUGAAAUGCGUAGAGAUCGGGAGGAAUACCAGUGGCGAAGGCGGCCUUCUGGACUGACACUGACGCUGAGGUGCGAAAGCGUGGGUAGCAAACAGGAUUAGAUACCCCGGUAGUC
rnacentral:rRNA from 1 species